rnacentral:rRNA from 1 species
UUGACCUCGGAUCAGGUAGGAAUUACCGCUGAACUUAA